rnacentral:ribozyme from 1 species
GUUGUUGGGUUGAAGUUAUGAUAUACGUGCUGUAUUGUACGAUACGGCAUCCAACGAAAUGUUUAUGGGCGCUAACAUCAUGCUC